CACACUAGGACGGUUCACACAUGCCAGUUCACCUAACUGGCAUCUUUGAGAUGUAAGAGGAAACCAGAGUAUCUCUGGUGGGAGAUUCUCCAAGAUUAUAUCUUGGAGAAAACCCACGUGGACCUGGAGAGAACAUGCAAAUGCCAUGGAUGGCGGCCCCAGCCGGGAACCAGUUUCUUUUCUCAUCAGUGUUACAACGAAAGGAUGUUAUUGGCAGGCCUGCUAUACACACAAUAAGUUUGGUUGACUCUCAGAUGCAUUAGGCUAACUGAAGUUGGACUCAGAAGGCAACAUACUAUAUGACUGCAUUUAUGUGACUUUCUAGAAAAGGCAAAACUAUGGACAGAGAACGUAAGUGUGAUUGCACUGCAGGAGGUGAAGGAAGCAUGGGGGAGCUUGACUGCAAAGGGGCAGCAUGGCAGAAUUUUGGGGAUGAUGGAACUAUUCUGUGUCGUAAUUUUGGUGGUGGUUAUGCCUCAGAACUGAACACCUCCAAAAAAGAGAAUUUUACUAUAUUUAAGUUUUAAAAUUCCAAAAAAAAAGCUAAGGAAAAAAAUCUUGCCUUUCCAAAUACAUGGGUGAUUUAAAAAGCUGGGGGAGCUGGAACAGUGGCAAGGUAUUGACACCUGGUGUUUUUUCUUUUGUUUGUAGGUUAUCUACCUUGCCUGCUCCUAUGCCACAGUGUACCUGAUCUACCUGAAAUUUAAGGCAACCUACGAUGGAAAUCACGAUACCUUCCGAGUGGAGUUUCUGGUGGUCCCUGUGGGAGGCCUCUCGUUUUUAGUCAAUCACGAUUUCUCUCCUCUUGAGAUCCUCUGGACCUUCUCCAUCUACCUGGAGUCCGUGGCUAUCCUUCCGCAGCUCUUUAUGAUCAGCAAGACUGGGGAGGCCGAGACCAUCACCACCCACUACCUGUUCUUCCUGGGCCUCUAUCGUGCUUUGUAUCUUGUCAACUGGAUCUGGCGCUUCUACUUUGAGGGCUUCUUUGACCUCAUUGCUGUGGUGGCCGGCGUAGUCCAGACCAUCCUAUACUGUGACUUCUUCUACUUAUACAUUACAAAAGUACUCAAGGGAAAGAAGCUCAGUUUGCCAGCAUAAGUGCCAAAGACCAUCACCAGCAUCUGUCCUUCAGGGUGCUCGGACAGAAUUCUUACCACAGCAAAGGCAUAAGAUGCUUGAUACGGAAAAUCAGAAACUUAACUCUUUUGUUGCAGAUAGUCAUCAGUGGCUCUGUAAAAACGCAGAGGAAAAGAGCCAGAAGGUUUCUGUUUAAUGCAUCUUGCCUUAUCUUUUUUUAUUACUGUGUACAAAGAUUUUUUUACACAAAGAAACUUAAUGCUGUAUUAAUAAAUUCAGUGUGUAGCUUCAAUUGGGAUAGUUCCAAAAGUGAAGAUUUUGUGAGGAAUAAGUGCAAACUUUUUUUUUUAUUUUAAAAAAAUUCUUUGAAACUGUUGAGUCUUUGUGUCUGCAAUGAAAUUGUACUCCUUGACAGUUGGUAGGUUAUAUAUUCUUCCAUCCCUCAAACUUGCAUUCCACUAUAUUUAUUUUUUGGCAAAAGAUGAGCUGUAUUUGUUUGAAAUCUGAGACACUAUGUUCAAUUGGAUGUAUCUGUUCAAAUUUAUUCCCACGUGACGUGGAAGUCCUUCGUUGGAUGUCACCAACACUACAUUUAAGGUUGGUAAGGAUGACUUGGAGGUCCAUGGUUUUCAUUACCAACAUUUUAAGAUUCUGAAUGUCGAUGGAGUCUCACUGAAGAGUCACCAAAGGUGCCUGCCCUCCUCCCCUGCUGGGAAGUGUCAGUUGGAGACUGUCCCAAGGGUGCUGAAGAAUCCAGUGGCAGGGUUUCUGGCUGCUUUCCAUCUGAGUGUGGGACGGGAGGGGUGUUCAUGAUCAUUUGGAUAUAGCAAUCUACUCUGAGAAAUGGAACACAAGGAGUUACCUAUCACUUUCACUUACAAUUCCAAAAGAUGACUACAGCCAUGUCCAUGCUCAGAUUCAAACAGUUUUCCAUAUCACUUUUGGGUGGUAAGAUGAUUUACAAUUUUUUUUUAAUUGGCAGCACCACUAACCAUUCCUUACAUUCUUUUGUGUGUGUGUGGCUUUCUUUUUAUUUAACCCACAGCCGACAUCAUAGUUUCUUGAUUUGUUUUGUUUUACAGAGCUGUUGCAUGACUUAUGUUACCAUUCUAAAAAACACUAUAUUAAACAUAGAAUAAAUUGUCUUUUUAUGAAUGAGGCUUUUUGAACAUCCUGUGUUGGGAUUUUUUUUGUUUUUCAAUUGGCAACAAAAGCUCUGUAGGGCUGCAGACAUUUAAAGUCCACAUAAUCAUCUGCAAGACAUUAUGUAUUUUGUGGAAAUACUAGAAUUUUUUUCCUGAUUUUGCCAUUAUAUGGAUUUGCUAUUUUUUUGAUUAAUGCAAAAGUAUAUGACUUUGUUUUUUAUGUGAUACACCAUAAAUAUUAAAGUGUUGAAUACU
rnacentral:sRNA from 1 species